GGAGUGCUUGCACUCUGUGAAACAAGAUACAGGCUAGCGGCGGACGGGUGAGUAACACGUGGGUAACCUGCCCAAGAGAUCGGGAUAACACCUGGAAACAGAUGCUAAUACCGGAUAACAACAGAUGAUGCCUAUCAACUGUUUAAAAGAUGGUUCUGCUAUCACUCUUGGAUGGACCUGCGGUGCAUUAGCUAGUUGGUAGGGUAACGGCCUACCAAGGCGAUGAUGCAUAGCCGAGUUGAGAGACUGAUCGGCCACAUUGGGACUGAGACACGGCCCAAACUCCUACGGGAGGCAGCAGUAGGGAAUCUUCCACAAUGGACGCAAGUCUGAUGGAGCAACGCCGCGUGAGUGAAGAAGGGUUUCGGCUCGUAAAGCUCUGUUGUUGGUGAAGAAGGACAGGGGUAGUAACUGACCUUUGUUUGACGGUAAUCAAUUAGAAAGUCACGGCUAACUACGUGCCAGCAGCCGCGGUAAUACGUAGGUGGCAAGCGUUGUCCGGAUUUAUUGGGCGUAAAGCGAGUGCAGGCGGCUCGAUAAGUCUGAUGUGAAAGCCUUCGGCUCAACCGGAGAAUUGCAUCAGAAACUGUCGAGCUUGAGUACAGGAGAGGAGAGUGGAACUCCAUGUGUAGCGGUGAAAUGCGUAGAUAUAUGGAAGAACACCGGUGGCGAAGGCGGCUCUCUGGUCUGUUACUGACGCUGAGGCUCGAAAGCAUGGGUAGCGAACAGGAUUAGAUACCCUGGUAGUCCAUGCCGUAAACGAUGAGUGCUAAGUGUUGGGAGGUUUCCGCCUCUC
rnacentral:rRNA from 1 species